CCUAACACAUGCAAGUCGAACGGUGAACCGGGCUUCGGCCCGGGGAUCAGUGGCGAACGGGUGCGUAACACGUGGGCAACCUGCCCCCGACCCUGGGAUAACCCCGGGAAACCGGAGCUAAUACCGGAUACUCUCCUCCGACCACAUGGUCGGAUGAGGAAAGGUCCGCCGGUCGGGGAUGGGCCCGCGGCCUAUCAGCUCGUUGGUGGGGUAACGGCCUACCAAGGCGACGACGGGUAGCUGGUCUGAGAGGACGACCAGCCACACUGGGACUGAGACACGGCCCAGACUCCUACGGGAGGCAGCAGUGGGGAAUCUUGCGCAAUGGGCGAAAGCCUGACGCAGCGACACCGCGUGGGGGACGAAGGCCUUUCAGGUCGUAAACCCCUUUCGGCAGGGACGAAGCGAUCUCGUGACGGUACCUGCAGAAGAAGCCUCGGCUAACUACGUGCCAGCAGCCGCGGUAACACGUAGGAGGCGAGCGUUGUCCGGAAUCAUUGGGCGUAAAGAGCGCGCAGGCGGCUUGGCAAGUCGGGUGUGAAAUCCCGGGGCUCAACCCCGUGACUGCAUUCGAUACUGUCAGGCUAGAGGUAGGUAGGGGAGAUCGGAAUUCCUGGUGUAGCGGUGAAAUGCGCAGAUAUCAGGAGGAACACCGGUGGCGAAGGCGGAUCUCUGGGCCUUACCUGACGCUCAGGCGCGAAAGC
rnacentral:rRNA from 1 species